rnacentral:misc_RNA from 1 species
GAACGCAUAUUGCGCCCUCUGGUAUUCCGGAGGGCAUGCCUGUCCGAGCGUCAUUACUACCUUCAAGCACGGCUUGGUUGUUGAGUCAAUUGUCCUUUAAUGGACAGACUUGAAAUGCAGUGGCGAUGCUGAGUCCUGGUGCUCGAGCGUAUGGAGCUUUGUCACACGCUUUAGUGGCCCAGCCGGCAUUCCGUCGAUUAUUUCUCAAAAAAAACUAAGAUUUAACCUCGGAUCAGGUAAGGAUACCCGCUGAACUUA